GACAUAGCUUGUUAAAUGGGUCAGAGUGUAAAGAAGCAGGUGUGCGCACUGGAGUACAUUGUCUCCAAGCAUCUGGCAGAAAACCACAAUGUCAUGGGAUUGUGCAGACAGCUCCCCUUCCUUCCCUCAAAUAAAAGCAGUGUCCACAUUUCCGCUGUGAUGGGCACUGCUUCCCUCCUUUCCCUAUGUGAGCUGAAAACUCACCCCUAGGAGUCAAAUUUAAUCAAUUACACAAAACUAUUUUACCGGACGUGGGUUGUGAGCUGGAGUUGGAGCAAAAUAGGAAGUAGUAAAGAUUCCUUGAAAUCUAUUUCAGAGCUGUUCCUUUGGGGCUAUGAAAUAAAAGACAAGACUGGUAGAAAUGACUUAAAAUGCAAAAAUGGCAAAGGUAAUGAUCACCGUGGGUAGGUUAUAAACGACUGUGGAGGUUUGGGGAGGCUAAAUCAUCCAGCCAACGGAAAAGUAGUCAUUUGAAUCUGAAGACAGUGAGCCUCUGCCUGCGUCUGUCUCAUGUAUUGGAAUAUCCUCUUAUUAAAUUACAGUGUUUUAUAACUUGUGAAUAAAAUUGGUAUCAUGUUUACUAUG